rnacentral:rRNA from 1 species
UACGUAGGGUGCAAGCGUUGUCCGGAAUUAUUGGGCGUAAAGAGCUCGUAGGCGGUUUGUCGCGUCUGCUGUGAAAACUCGGGGCUUAACUCCGGGCUUGCAGUGGGUACGGGCAGACUAGAGUGCGGUAGGGGAGACUGGAAUUCCUGGUGUAGCGGUGAAAUGCGCAGAUAUCAGGAGGAACACCGGUGGCGAAGGCGGGUCACUGGCCCGAUACUGACGCUGAGGCACGAAAGCGUGGGGAGCAAACAGG